GUCAUAAUCCGACCUGUCAGCCAGGCCCAGGUAGAAAGUCAAAUAACCUAGGCCCUGCACCAUUGCACCCAGGUAAGAGAGCCAAAUCACCUAAGUGCUGGACCCAGGAAUGGAUUACUGUCUAUCCUACUUCCCCAAAAGAGAAUUAACAGCAUAGAAAUUAUGCCUAAAAGCCAGGUAUUUAUAUACCAGGUUUCUCUUACUGAUAACUCUGGAUUGAGUUGUUUCCAUUAAAUCAACAAUAUUAAAUGUCUUGGGGUGGAGCCAAGAUGGCCAAAUAAGAACAGCUCCAGUCUACAACUCCCAGCGUGAGCGACGCAGAAGACGGGUGAUUUCUGCAUUUCCAGCUGAGCUACCGGAGUUUUAGCCAAUUCAAAUGCCUUGUUCCCCACAAUUUGGAACAUUCCUUUGGAUGUGACCAAGUCAGGAAAAGAUGGUCAUACUUCAUGGGAGAAAUGUGAAACAACAACAAAAUCCCAAACAUAAACAAAAACAGUUAAGCAAAACAAACAAAUUCAUAUGAAUACCAAGUGUUCUAACAGUAAGGAGAAAUUAAAACCAGCUGGUUGGUAAUCUUAACUUUUAGUCAUUAAGGAACAUUUUUAAGACAAAACUCUAAUUCAGCUACUUACCUGGAAAUAAAGCUCAGGCUGAUGAUCGCUCUCUACCAUCAUAGAGAGGCAGGAAAAAACUCACACUCACCUUCUCUGUCAGAAGCAAGUUGAAACUCAAGAAAGAAGGUGCCUGCUCUCCAUCAUCAUGGAAGCAGGAAAACUUGCCUUCCUUGUUGGAAAUGAGUAAAACUUCAGAAAAGGAGUUGUACAGCAAAAUAACUUCAAAUAGCAACCAAAUUUUGGGAGAUCAGGGACUCUCUGGAGGGGAGAAGCUCCCCAAGCUCCACAAAUUAGCCUAUUGGCUUGAGAAAUAAAGAUAACCCAGGUUGGUAUCAAGCAAAAAUAAAAGAUUUAUCAAAGGUCA